rnacentral:rRNA from 1 species
ACAUGGCAGGACGACUUCCAGAGAUGGAUUUCUUCCCUUCGGGGACCUCCUGCACAGGUGCUGCAUGGCUGUCGUCAGCUCGUGUCGUGAGAUGUUGGGUUAAGUCCCACAACGAGCGCAACCCUCGCCUUUAGUUGCCAGCACGUUUGGGUGGGCACUCUAAAGGAACUGCCGGUGACAAGCCGGAGGAAGGUGGGGAUGACGUCAAGUCCUCAUGGCCCUUAUGUCCUGGGCUACACACGUGCUACAAUGGCGGUGACAGUGGGAAGCUAGGUCGCGAGGCCGUGCUGAUCUCUAAAAGCCGUCUCAGUUCAGAUUGCACUCUGCAACUCGAGUGCAUGAAGGUGGAAUCGCUAGUAAUCGCGGAUCAGCAUGCCACGGUGAAUACGUUCCCGGGCCUUGUACACACCGAAGGGC